rnacentral:rRNA from 1 species
GCCCAGACUCCUACGGGAGGCAGCAGUGAGGAAUAUUGGUCAAUGGUCGGGAGACUGAACCAGCCAAGCCGUGUGAGGGAUGAAGGUACAGAGUAUCGUAAAACUCUUUUGUCAGGGAACAAAGGCGGGGACGCGUUCCCGGAUGAGUGUACCUGAAGAAAAAGCAUCGGCUAACUCCGUGCCAGCAGCCGCGGUAAUACGGAGGAUGCGAGCGUUAUCCGGAUUUAUGGGGUUUAAAGGGUGCGCAGGCGGAGGAUAAGGCCGGGGGUAAAGUCGGGGGGCUCACCCCCGCUCCGCCGUUGAAACUGGCGUUCUUGAGUGGGCGAGAAGUAUGCGGAAUGCGUGGUGUAGCGGGGAAAUGCAUAGAUAUCACGCAGAACUCCGAUUGCGAAGGCAGCAUACCGGCGCCCAACUGACGCUGAAGCACGAAAGCGUGGGUAUCGAACAGGAUUAGAUCCCCCGGUA